AAAACAGUGACUGCAGCGACACAAGUCAAGUACGGCUCUGGUGUUGCAGCGAUACAUCUCCUUGAAAUCAAGUUUCUUCUUCUUCUGCUGCGUGAUUUAUCGAGCCGCGUGUGCCGCUCUGCCCACAGCUCUGCUGCGGAGUUAAACCGAUCUCACCCUCUGAGGCCGUGCACUUCAAACUUCACCAUAUCAACGUGAACGUGAGAGUUCACACACUCUGCCUGUCUGAAGGAGCAGCUGAUCUACAGUGGCAAACGUCUGCGCUUUAGUCAUGUGUUCAAAUCUCAAACACAGGAUAUCCUCACAAAACAACCCUCAACCCUCAGUCGGGUUCUGAGAGUCACAGAAAGUAUUUGGUUCUCUGUAUUUUCUUGUAUUACUUUCAGUGGAUAACAGCCUUGUUAGCAACAUUAGCUCGGCCUUCCCCACUCAGCAUAUACUGCCCCCUGGCCUCACUGCGUGUGUACUGCUAAAUAUACUAUACUUGAAAAUGAAAACUUUUGUUUCACAACCUUCUUGACUUCCACCCUCCUACACUUUCAGGUGAAGCACAGAUACAGACAGGAAGUCGUUCAGCCCUGUCACAGAAACGUUCUGAGACUCACGACUCCAAAAUUGUAAUUUUCUUUAUCUCCCUGUUGGACAGAGUCAAAAAAGUCCGACCCAGAAAACACCUGGUCCAAAGGACUGAGCAUCGGUACCUGAAAGUUCUUGUUGUCCUGGAUCUGUCAGGGUGACGUCAGGACACUGCUGCACCGCGCUACACCCCCGGCACACAAACACACACUCCUGUAAAAAUCACUGCUCUGCUUCAAACAGUUUUUUACUGGUUUUAUAUUUUGUACAUUUUUCUGGACAUUUUUAAAAAAUAUUUUAUCAAUAAUAAUAUUAAUAAUAAUUCUAUUUUGCAUACAAAAUUAUAAAAACACAGACAUGGAGCUGCUGAUAUCUGUCCUUCUGUAGCAGUUCUGCGAUACUUGAUCCUGGGCUCUUGACUGACGACAUCCGAUACCAGCAUAAGAUCAACGAGGGGGAAAAACUUUUUUUUUUUAACAAUUACCAACGCGUGGUUGAAAUAUAGGUUGGAGACCCUGGGCAGUAAUCCUUAAAUUCUGAAAAGUGGGUUGAAAAUCCCUGGGCAGUAACCCCUAAAGUACCAAAGGCCUAAAAA